AAAUCUAUUAAACUGAUUUUUUUUUCACGCUAUGGAGCACACUGCGUUAAUAAGAGGUACCUGAAAGUGUAUGGGAAUGUAUAAAGAAUUGACGGAUCUUGCUCUCUGAGACUGAGCAGACUACUGCUGCUCUCUAUAGGUUGCCCUUGGAUACCUGGUGAACCCUUCUCUCCUGGGAAUCCACAGAGUCCUUAAAGAAAAAAAUCAGAGGUACCUGGUAAUCCGGGAUCUCCAGGAGGCCCUUUUCGACCAUGUGUACCAAGCAGAGGAGUUGGGUCACCUCUCUUGCCUGUUGAGGAAACCCUGGUUCCCCCUUUUGUCCUUUCUCAAGACGGAUAUUAACACCGCCACUGUCUCCUGGAGGUCCUCCUUCACCUUUGAACCAAACAUAUGGAAUUUCCAGCCAAAGCUCUCUGUUCAGCCAGGCCAGUC